rnacentral:misc_RNA from 1 species
AACGCACAUUGCGCCCCUUGGUAUUCCGAGGGGCAUGCCUGUUCGAGCGUCAUUACACCACUCAAGCCUCGCUUGGUAUUGGAGGACGCGGUUCGCCGCGCCUCUCGAAUCGACCGGCUGAGUUCACCGUCUCUUAGCGUUGUGGAAAUCUAUUCGCUUGUGAGAUCCGGUGGCACUCAUGCCGUUAAACUCAUUUUUCAGGUUGACCUCGGAUCAGGUAGGGAUACCCGCUGAACUUAA